rnacentral:lncRNA from 1 species
UAAAAGAGAGUGUGUUGGAGUGUGCUUGUUAAAGAGUGUGUUGCUAGCAUUAUUCGUAUAUACACAUUAUUCAAAGUUUUUCAUUCAUUUCCGUUUUAGGAUCAUUUUAUAACCAUUGCAUGUCUUUCAUACUCAAGAAAAAUGUUAAACAAAAGUUAAUAAUCAAAGACAAAAACAGAGAUACAUAGUAUACUAGUACUCACAAAAUAGUGACAAAAGAGAGAGUAAAAGAUAGCAAUAUAUACCGCAAGAAUUUUACGAUACUCGGAAAUGAGGUAUACGACAUAAUCUGGGAGACGAAAUUGGCGCGAUCUUGCAGAGAAAGGUAUGAGAAAAUAGUUGUUGACAAAAUCAUUUCCACCUAAAGUAAUGAGAAAUAAAGCUUCAUUCACCAGUCUCACUGUCUCUUCUUCUCCAAUUAGUGCACUCACUCUUUGCUGAUACUGCUCAAAUAACUCUAAUUGUUUUGUGAUUCUGAUUAUGUUUACCUGCAAACAUAAAUGUAUACACAAUUUUGGUCAAAAAAAUAUCUAUACACAAUUUCAUACAUCCUUAGUUUAGACUGAAAACAUAUAUUUUUCUUCAUGCCUUACGAAUAAUAUUUGGUUUAUCAGCGAUAAGAGUUCGACUUUGUAACUUCAAGGCACGAAGUUCAAAUCUCAUCAGAAACGGUUGUAAAAUGUUACCGUUAUUAAUAAUAAUUUAUCUUUUUCCUAAAUUUUUUCUAAAAAAAUACUUGGUCUCUUUAAUUAAACAGAAAAUUUAAAACAUAUCAGUGCAAAAAAAUGUAGUACAGACAGAAUUUAAGGUUGCUUACAAAUUGAAUUCCAGUAUCAUUGAGAAUUCCAAUUCCAGCAGAAGCAAAGUUAGCACCAUUUAGUAGCGCCUCUCCAUUUAGUUGAGGACUCAAAUAUGGUAAUGUUGGUUCCGAUCCAAUUCUUUCGCCUAGCACAUUAUAAUUAAUCAAAUCAAUUAAUUAAGUGAUGCAAUUUAAACUAUAUGUUAUGCAUACAAAACUAUAAAUCAAUAAUUGAGAUUAGGAUAUGCCCGUAUACUUAUAAUGUCAGGGAUGUUGAGGCCAUUGGAGAAGCGUCCGGUGGGACGAUGAGUCGGGUAAUCAAUGCCGUAAGGGUAGUUAUCGGCACGAGCAGUUGUGAAUAAGUAGUUAUUGUUGCCAUUGUCAACAAGUGAAUCACCAAAAACAAAAAAUGCUCGAGCUUCAACUUGUGGAACAACAAUGUUCCAUGUUAUUAGCAUACAAGAAACAAAAACUAGUACUCUAUGGUUGUUUUGGUCCAUGGAUUGGAUUGGAUAGUAUAAUGCCUCUAGACAAAUUAAAUGGCAAAGUUUUAUGGCUUUACUAGAGAAGAAACUACCUCUGUGUUUGUGAUUUGUGAAUGAGUAUGGGAGUGUCUUUAUAUAGAGGUAAUUUGUUGUGAUAUUUGAUGUGCAGAAUUUAAUAGCUUCUGCUACCACCACCCCAACAAAUAUAGACAUAGCUACUUUUACCUUACAUCUUUUACGGUUCAUAAGUUUGUUUUCGCUAUUGAAUCAAUAAAUUUCACUAUUAGAUCAAAUGAGAUGUGAUGUUACAUAAUUGAUCCAAUUGUGAGAUUUUUAUUGUUUCAAUUAUAAAAACAAAUUUAUACAUAGCGAAAAAUUUGUGUCACAAGUGGUUUCAGCUCACUCUCGAUCGUUGUUGCGGAGGAUCAAACCGUGAUCUUCCCUACCAAGUUUAGCAUCAAUCACCACUAAACCAAGUAACUAUUGAUUUGUGUCGCUCACUUGUUCGUGUUAGAGAAAGCCAUAAAUAAAGGCAUGUCAGUAGUAUUGAAUUACUAUAUUCACCAAUGUUAGUGUGUAUUAAAUGCACACAAUGGCUAGAUCUGUUUUUUUUUUUUUUUUNNNNNNNNNNNNNNNNNNNNNNNNNNNNNNNNNNNNUUUUAUCUUUUACUUUUCAUUGUUUUCCUACAGUUCUAAUUCCAACUAAGGUGAUUUGGAUGUUUAUAAGAAGAAUACAGAAAACAGUAGUAAGUAAGUACAGAAUCAUAUCAAAUGUGUGUGCGGCAAUAAGUAAAUCAGAAAAAAGAUGUAUGUAUCUACCACAUUUAUACCUUGUUUAUCUUGUUCCCAAUUUUCCUGACCUAGUGAACCUGUAUGUGGAUCCUGUCUAAAGAGAGUAAAAAAAAUAUGAUUUUUUAGUACAGAGAUAUAAAACUUUAUUAUGAUCGGAUCAUAAUCUUGUAAACUUUAUUAUAGAUUAUUAUGAUCGGAUCAUAAUAUAUAUCUCCUUUUAGGCUCCGUUUGGUACAAUGGAAAGAAAGUGGAAUGAAAAAAAAUUACGCAAAUCAAUACAUGAAUUUGGACCAAAAUCAGUCUAAGUUCAUGCAUUGAUUUGCAUAAUUUUCUUUUCUUCCAAUUUUUUUCAUUGUACCAAACGGACCAUUAAGGUUUGUAACUUUUAAAAUGUACAAAUAAUUAUUUAUUAAAAAAUUAUACAUUUAAUAUAAAAUAAAUAAAUUUUUAUACAAAUUUAUUAUUUUGGAUUUUUUAACAUGUGAAAAUAUGCACAUGAUAGAAAAACUCCUUUUUUUUUUAAACCAAUACUUUCACCCCCAAUCGUUAAUACAAUAAUAUGGGUCAAAUGGUGUUUUUUAAAUUUAAAAUAAAAAAGGUUUUGAGAUCGGGAGUUAGUGUUUAGUGGUAUCUCUAUAGGUCGAGUCGAUGUAUUUUCUGGUGGUGUGGAAAUUGAGGAAUGUAUUUCUAUGAAGGGUUUAGAAGUGGACUUCUAUUAUUGGGUGUUUGUUUUGGUAUUUUCAUUGAUGUUCCGUUUAUAUACGGCAUCUUUGGGUCUAUUAGGUAAAAAUAAGUUAUAAGCUAGCUGAUAGCUGAAAAACUAGCUAAUUGGGUGGUUUAUUUUUUAGAGUGGAUAGUUAUUAAAUUAAAGGGUAAAAAUGAAAUGAAGUGUAAAAAGCAAUAAGCCAUAAGCUCAAACGCUACUUGAAAAAGCAUUUGAAAAAAAGUUAUAAGCUAAUAAAAAAAGCUUGUUACCAAACACCUCUAAUUUUUUGAAACAAGCUUAUAAGUUCAUAUAAUAAGCUAUAAGCUAGCUUAUUUAUGUUAUCAAACACACCAUUUGUUUUGUAGUCUCGCGUCUACAUAUCUCUGUGCAAAGACAUGAUUAUUAAUUAAUAAAUUAUUUUCCGUUAAAAAAAAUAAAAAAAUAAAAGGGCUCCAUGGAAUUCUCGCACGGCUCCCCUGCAUUUCAAAUUUUACUAUCUUGGAGAUUAAGUAGCGAGUACGUAAAAAUGUAAAAUUUAGAAAAACACUGUUAUUUUAACCGCGAACUCAUAUCAUACUUUAACUAGCAAAUCUUAUAAAAAAUUUAAUUUGUUUUCCCUCAGCUCCAUGAAAAUAUUUUGAAUAAAACACUGUAUCGAAAAAUAGAUUUCAAUUUAUAUAAUUUUAGGGUACGUGUGAUUGUCGAUGUUAUGCCACAUUCUUUCCGGUGGCCAAUCAAAAUCUAGUUUUCGAAGGCCACUGAAGCGGUUGUGACAUUUUUUUAAUUUUUCAAUCACCUACUCAUACGGAUUUUAUUCAAAAUAUUUUCUUGGAGGUGAGGGAACAAAAUUAAAUGAUUAAAUUUUUAUAAGGUUCAUUAGUUAAAAUACAAAUUAAUUUUGCACUUUAAAUAGCAUACUCAUUUCGCAUUUUAAAUAGCAAAUUGUGUUUCUCUAAAAUAUUACCAAUCGUUAGUUGGUUCGAUGGUGAUUGACGCUGAACUUGAUACGGAUGAUCGCGGUUCGAUUCCCCACAACUGCGAUCGGUAGAGGGCUGAAACCACUUGAUGCCAGAACUGACCCUCGAACCAAAUUCAACUGGUGGUGAAAAAAAAAACAAAAAAAAAAAAUUCAUGAAAGGCGUGACAAGUACAACCAUGGGAGUUAUAGGGAGGUGAAGAGAAAUUGUCCGGUCCACUAGAAAAGUCAACAAAACUUAUAUCCGCCAACAAGGCAAACGAAGCAAAGGCUGGAACAUUAAAGAAAGUCCUAAAACUAUCACACAAAUUCAAAGCAAACUUUGUAAGGGAGUCCACAAGCAAUUGACGGAGAAAUUCUAACAUUUCACACUUAAUAAUAGAUUAAGAUAAGUUAUUCAUUCAAUCUAUCCUAUAAUGUUGUUUUUGUUUAUCUAUAUAUCCAUAUUCUUUGGGCAUAGAAUCUUACUAACAUAAGUAAUAAAGACAUACAUUGCAUAAUCCAGAGCAACCUCAAUCUCACAAUAAAGACAUGUUACACUUACAAAGUGGAAUUCAGUAUGGUUGAGAAUGCCAAUCCGAGCGUAUGCAAAAUUGGCACCAAUUAGAAGCUUCUCCCCAGGUGUAGGCUCUAACCCAAGCUCCAACCAAGCUUAUUACAAUUACACAAAAUCCAAUCACACCAAUGAAGUAACCAUGUAUGUGAGAUUCUUAGUGUGAUAUAUGACUUGUGGUUUGUAUAUGGAACAUGCAAAUGAUGCAAUAUUCUGUAAAUAGCACUCAUUAAUGUAUUCUUCUACCACCUCCCAAUGAUUUAAAGCAGAGCCGCCAAUGUAGCCAGACUUUAAAUUCACAAAAUCAGAGUUACUAGUAUUCUUCAUCAUAACUGCAGACAAAUAUUUUUACUCUCACUUUUUGACAUUUAAAGGAGACAAAUAUAAUAAAAUAUUCUCUUUAAAUUUAAGCAUUAUUUUUUUAUCAUUAAAUAAAAAAAUUAUAUAUGAAAAUGUUAACAUGUGCUUCGGGGAGUAAAAACAGAAACAAUAUAUUCAAAAGUAUUUUGAUGAGAUGACGCAAAUUUCUUUUAGCUUAACCAAUGUUAUGGAUUCGAUUCCUGACUUAAGCAUGUAACAAAGUUUAAAACUCUUAGCUAAAGAGAGUUUGUCACUCAUUUGGGUCACAGAAAGCUGAAUAGAUUAGUUUUUGCAGUUGCCUGCAGAUGACACCCAAUUUAUACCAAGAAAGUAGAAAUAAUGUUUUGGAACUUUGUGCAUUUAACUUUUUAACCAUUAAAUAUUUUCUAAUAUUAAAUGUAAGUUUUUUAUAUUUAUAAUUUUAACAUAUAAAGUCUGACAAAAAAUUGUUCUCACAAUGAAUCGAACUUGAAUUAUUCUGAAUAAUUCGUCUAAGAAGAUUCAUUAACCAAAAAUGUUUUUGUUUAACCCUUUAUAUAUUUACUCUCCUAGUGAUAAAAAAAUCCACCUUAUUGUUGUUUUUGUUAUUGUUGUUGUUUGCAUGUUCAAUUAUGUGCAUGAAAAGUGUCCCACAAUAAAGAGAUUUGACCCUCGAAUAAGUGAUCAAUUAUUCAAUCCUUGAAGAAAUGAGACAGAAAAAUCACCUUCUACAUAUAAAAAUAAAAAGAAAUGGUAAUUGACAUAAAAUUUUGAUGUUAUAAAUAUAGGAUGCAUGUUAAAAAAUAGUUUUGUCACUAAUACUGUUUGAACAGUACACGUGUCAGCGUGUACAAGUGCCACAUGUCUGUCCACAUAUGCAAAUUGACUGCCACAUGUGACAAAAUUGACGGAAAGCACUAGCUUGAAACCUAAAAUAAACGUAAAAGACCAAAUUGAAACUUUUUAAAUGUAAGAGACCAAAUUGAAACCUAAAAUAAACGUAAGAGACCAAAUGUGUAGUUAAGCCUUAAAAAAUAAAGAUUAAACAAUUCUUGUUGUAUUAUUUUUAAUUUAAAAAUUGUUAUUGAACAAGUUGGAGGAUAGUAAACUAAAUAAAAAGUCGGUCUCUUCUCGCUUAACCAAAGUCCUGAGUUCGAUCUCGGACUUAAGCAUGCAGCAGUGUUAAAAUUCUUAGGGAGAGUUUACCAUCCAUUUGGGUCUCACAAGACUCGAUAGAUUAGUCUCUGCCAUUGCGCGCAGAGGAUAUCCAAUAAUAAAAAGUUGAAAUUCGAUAAAGUCAAGGUGACAACAUUUUAUAAUACGUUAAAAAAAAAAUUUAUACUACAUACAAAUUGUAUAAAAUAAAAAAUAACAUUUUAUCUAUCCUGGACUAUUAUAAUUAGUACUUACUUCUUGCAACAUUUUUUUUUUAACACCAAAAGUUUAUAUCAUAGAAUAGAAGAAUAAAAGUUCAUGAUGUCCUAGUCCACUACAGAGAAAAAGUACAAGUGGCAACACACAUAUAUUUUUUUUAACAGCAAAAGUUUAUAUCGUAUAAUAGAAGAUGAAUAAAAGUAUGAGAUGGGGAAGAAGUACAAGUCAUACUCAAUUCUUAUCCCGAUAAACUUAUAUCAUAUAAUUAUCUAUUUGAUGAAGAUUUAACAAACUUAUAUGCAACUCUUACACUGUUAAUGAAAUCGUCAAUUAUUUUCAACCCAUCACUUGAGAGUGUUGUGUUGUUUGCGCAAUGUUGAAAGAAGCUUGAGAAUGAGAGCAACGAGAAGUUGUUCGCGGCUGUGACUUUGAGAGAGAGAGAGAGAGAUUAUGAGAGUUUCCAAGUUAGUUUUUUGUUUUUUGAACCAUGUGAGUGAGAAAGAUUUUUAUAUAUUUUUUGAUAAUAAGAUUUUUAUAUUUUGGUUGCAAGUAAUUGGGUCUGUUUUAUUUUUUAAUAGAUGUGGACUGCCUAAAAAUAAUUUAUUAACUUAAUAAUAGAUAUAUAUUGGUUUGAUUCAGUUUGUUCAUUGGUUCUGAAAAUUGGAACCGAGAAUCGAACCAAACCACAUCGAUUUUCAAUUGGUUUGAUUUGGUUUUUGAUUCGAACCAUGAAAAUCAAUUUNNNNNNNNNNNNNNNNNNNNNNNNNNNNNNNNNNNNNNNNUCCGAUUUAGAUUUGUUUGGAUCGUCGGUCCAAUUGAAUUUUUCUAAUCCACUUAUGCCCAUAGACACAUAAGGCGAGUUUUUCCAUCCCACCCAAAUUUUCUCCAUAGCAUAAACCAAUAAUCGAAUCCCUCACCACCAUAUACUCGAAGAAAUCAAAAUUCUUACUACUCAUAACAAUUCAUUGUUGUAACAUAAUUUAUCAUUCUUUGCAGUAUCAAAAGAUAAAUAAAUUAACCUGAUGCUCAUAAAAAAGUAAAAAUAAAAGUUAAGCUGACACUCUAAUAAAAAAAUAAAGAAUUUAAUUUACAUGCAUCGUCGGUGUAAAGUUAUUUUGCACAUGCGUCUAAUAAUAUACCGACACGUCAUGUAUGGUAAUUAAAAACACAUGAUGAGUCACAUUCAUUAAAUGAUAUGACAAUGCGUAAUUGGAUGUAUGUGUAAAAAAAAAUUACAUCGACGGUACACAACAAUUAAACUCAAAAAUAAAAUAAAAUAUAAACAAAAAAGAAAAUGUCCGGGUUUAAUAUUGGUUACGACGAAAAAUCCCGAAAUUGAUCGGGACAGGAUAUAGCAGCAGCCAAAACCCUAGCCAAUAUCACCACUGAAACUGAAACUGAAACACUGUGUAUCUCUCUCUGCGUGUAUUUGCAGAACAGAACACGAGUUGUUUAUUUAUAUUGAUAAUUAAUCUGAUUCUCAGCUCCACAGCUUCUUCCUUCAGAUCUCGCCAUUUCUACAAUGGCGGAAUCACUACAAUCCCUAGUUUCCCUAUCCGAAUUGGUUUCUACUUCAUCCACUAACCAACGACUUCGAAUAUUCCAACGUGAAGUCCCUGCGUUUCUCAAAUCAUCUUCUUCAGGUCAAUACUUAACCGAUCACACUAACACACUACACUCUUAUGUUAACUAAACCUUCACUUCAUUUUCUCUUUCAUUUUUUAUUUACCUAUCAGAUUGCGAUUCGUUACCCUAUUUUAUUGUUAAUUAGAAAAAAAUGCACUAUCUAAUUAAUUUAUGUUUUGGUUACUUCAUUUAGUGUUUCAUUUUUGAUUUAGCUAAUCAGAUUUUGAUUAAUUACUCUAUUUGAUUGUUAAUUAGAAAAAAAUGCACUGUCUGAAUGCAUUUCCGUUUUUUUUUUUUGUUUUUGUAGAUGAAAUGUCUACAGAGCUUGCUUCGUUAUUGACUGAUAUAAUAUUUAGAACGGUUGCGAUUUACGAUGAUCGUAGAUCGAGAAAAGCAGUUGAUGAUGUGAUUGUUAAGGCUUUAAGUGGAACGGUUUUCAUGAAGACUUUUGCAGCAGCGCUUGUUCAGAGCAUGGAAAAGCAGUCGAAAUUUCAAUCUUAUGUUGGCUGCUACAGACUUCUCAGUUGGUCGUGUUUACUUUUGAGCAAAAGCCGGUUUUCCACUGUUUCGAAGAAUGCUUUGUGUAGAGUAGCUGCGGGGCAAGCUUCUUUGCUUAAUAUUGUUUGGAGUAGAUCUUUUCGUGAAAGAAGGGCUUGCAAGAAAAAGAUUUUCCAUUUGUUUUCGAAGGUUUAGUUCAACUGUAGUUGUUUUUAAUUCAAUAGAAUGUUAAUGCCGUGUUGCUCAUUUAGUUUUAUAUAUCAGUGAAUUUAGAUAUAUAUGCUUGUUUUGCUUUCAGUCACCGGAUAUUUAUAAAGUCUAUGUACAAGAAGUGAAAAAUGGCCUAAUUCCUUAUAAGGAUGGUCCGGAAUUAUUGUUGUUGUUGUUGGAGUUCUCAACUAGGUCACCCUCUUUAUUUGGAGAGUUCAAGGUGAGUUGGUUGUAUUCUUAAAUUUUAUGUAUUUUUGUUUACAUGAGAGUGAUUUCCAUCUUCUAGGUUCUAAUACAAUUCUCUGUACUUCACAGUCAGCUUUUCUUGAUAUUUAUGUUAAUGCAAUAUUGAAUGCAAAGGAAAAGCCAGUAAAGAGUCUCAUUGAAGCAUUUCAUCCACUGUAUUUGCAAAUGUCACAUGAAGAUUUUGGAAUUAUUGUUUUGCCGGCUGCUGUUAAAAUGCUUAAGCGCAACCCGGAGAUUGUGUUGGAGUCUGUUGGAAUUCUUUUGAAGUCGGUCAACCUUGAUUUGAGUAAGUAUGCUGCGGAAAUUCUUUCAGUAGUACUAGUACAGGCUCGACAUGCUGAUGAAGGGAGAAGGGAUGUGGCAUUAGCUAUAGUCAGGAGUCUGAGCCAAAAAUCCAGCAAUCCAGAUGCGUUGGACACAAUGUUCAAUGCUAUCAAAUCUGUUAUUAAAGGUAUGAAAUAACCCUAUGCUUGUGUUUUUAACUUGUUAAUGAUGUUAUCUUGGUUCUUGAUUGACUGUGUUGAUGGUGCCGUUUAAUAUAUUUUGAUACGUGUUUCAUUCUAAAUAGGUUCAGAAGGGAGGUUGGCCUUUCCAUACCAGAGAGUUGGAAUGGUGAAUGCGAUGCAAGAAUUAUCUAAUGCACCUGAUGGCAAAUACCUCAUCAGUCUGUCUCAAACAAUAUGCAAUUUUCUUUUAUCAUUCUACAAGGAUGAUGGUAAGCACGGUUACACACUAAUAUUCCUCUUAAUUGUUUCUUUUUUCUAUUUUUGCCUUUUUAACUCAAAGGACAAUGGGACACAGUCAAAACUAUGAACAUUCCUCUCCGAACAUGUUCAAAGAGAUUUGCAAAAGCCACUAACUUUCGCACAAUCUUGGCAUCGAAAAGCCUUUAAAAUAUAUCAUAAGAAACCUACGAAACUUUUCUCAGGUCAGGACCACAUUCAAUUUUUACCAGAAAGAGUUGAAUGCUUUCUUUUUAGAUCUUUACCUAUCACACGAAGUUAGCAGAAAGAGUUGUUUAACGUCUGGGAUUAUGUGUCAUAUUUACAAUGCUGUUAAAUGUCUCAGUCCAAACUGAGGACUUGACCCUAGAAGGAUUAUCGAUUUGGUAUUUGUCAUUGUUCUUAAUGCUAAUCAAUGGACAAUUGUGGCAGUAUGACCACAUCAUUUCAAAGUUUAUUCUUUUUGGUCAGCUCUCCAUCUAUAUUUACUUGUGGUUUGUAUUUAUGGUGCAUUUUGACAUGCUUUAGAAAAACUGGAUCUUUAAGAUAUACCUUUUUAUUUUUAAUUUGUAAACCACAUCGUUUAACACCUGAGAAAUCUAAAAAUGUUUUUUUCUGUUUUGUUGUUGUGUAUUUUUUAUCAAAAGCUUAUUUUAUUUUCUUCAAUCUUUGAAAUUUCUAGAUGCAUUUUUUUAAUUGCGAAGAACUUUAUAUUUGAAAUAAAUCCCAAACAAACAUGUCCUCAUAUAUGCUUCUGGUUCAUGUUCCACUCUGGAUUGGCAGGAAACGAGGAGGUUAAAAUUGCGACUUUGUCAGCUAUAGCUUCUUGGGCGGUUAAAUCUACAAAUAUUAUUCAAGAGAGCUUAGUUUCCUUUUUUGCUUCUGGUCUCAAAGAGAAGGAAACUUUAAGAAGGGGUUUUCUGCGUAGUCUACGUGCUAUAUGCAAAAAUGCAGAUGCUGUCUUAAAGGUGACUUGUCAGCUGUUAAUUAACUAUCCUUUGUUGUCAAUUUAUUGCAUGCAUACUAUGGAGGCUUCAUCCCCUUACAUUCCAGCUAAAUAUUUUCAGAUGUCAUCAUUGCUUAGCCCUCUUGUUCAACUUGUAAAAACUGGUUUUACCAAAGCAGUGCAACGAUUAGAUGGCAUAUAUGCAUUGUUAUUAGUUGGGAAGAUAGCUGCUGUUGAUAUCAAAGCUGGUAACUAUUAGUGUAUUCAAUGUACUUGAACUUAGAGCUAUAGCUUAGUUUUGUUUGAUUUCUUUUGCCAAGAUUUUUCGUUUGUUCAUGUUUGUUGUAUUUCCCUAGAUGAAAUAUUGGUAAAGGAAAAAAUGUGGUCUACCAUAUCACAAAAUGAACCUUCACUCGUGUCCAUUUCCAUGGUAAUCACUCUACUAAAUUUUGUAUUAGCAUUACCCAGGCUAUAUUCUAGAUGUCUAAAAAUGUGCUAUACAGGCAUCAAAGCUAGCAGUUGAAGAUAACAUUGCUUGCGUUGAUCUUCUUGAAGUGCUUCUUCUCGAACAUUUACCACGGUAAAAUUGCAUAUACAGUGCCAAAAGAUCAGGAGUCAAGAUCCUCUCCAUUUUGUAUCUCCAUUUAUUCUCUCCAUUACUAUAGUUUUGAAGCAUUUUAGAAUAUAUUUUAAAUAAUAGGACCCACAAAGUGUCGCAUAAUUGCAUUUAUAUUUCCAAAACUUGAGUAAUUGCAAAAAUGGAGAUGCUCAAAAAUGGAGAGGAUCCUAACUCAAAGAUCAGACCAUAAUUUAUGUCUUAUGAGUUGUAUGUUUGAUUAUGUUUUGUUUUGUGACUUUGUUCUGCAGUACAUUAUCCAACUUCUCAGUCAGAUCGCUGUUACAGGUAAAACUAUUUGUAUUUAAUCAGUUCCUUUAUUGACUGGUGUUUAUAUUGACUCAGUUAUCGUUAACUUCAUGCAGUUAAUGAUUUUUUUUAUAUGCCAUCCGAAGUGGGAUAUUCGAAGAAUAGCUUAUAAUGUUGUUAAGAGGAUUAUUUCUUCUGUCCCACAAUUAUCUGAAGAUCUUUUCUCUGAAUUUUCAAAGUAUCUUUAUUUGGUUGAGGAGAAAAUUUCAGCUUUAAGAAUAAGGUAAAUAGCUUGUUGUACACAAAUCUCUAUAUUUACAAUUUGAACUUGUGUAGGCUUGUUGAAGUUUUAGGGUUUUAGAUAAGAAGAUCGGUAAGAAAAUGAAUACUGACAUUAUGAUUAAGGUUUGAGAUGAUAAAUUGACGAUAGAGAAGAUUGACCCUUAUUUAUACUAACACUGUGUGAGAUAAGCAUUUCUAAUUAGUUAUAUGUUGUAAUUAGCCAACAGUGUAACAGCUGCAAUUAGGCACAUGUAAAAAUAGAGUGCUACAUCAGCUUAACCGCCUCAGAGUUAGUUAGAUCUGAGUGCAGGUUAUGCCGUCAACCUACAAAGCUUUAAUCUUAAUAGAAAUAUUUCCUUCAGGGAAAGAAAAUAAAACAAGGAGAUUAUAUAAGGGAGGGGCUAGGCUGUUUUCUCCAGAACUACAGCAGGGCUAGGAUGAUUAUUUUAGUGUGCUGUGGGACUAGGAUGAUUAUUUUGGUGUGCUGUUUGACUAGGGUGAUUCUCUAGGACUGUGGUGAGCCACAGAUAGGAAAGGAGGCUUGUGCAGUUGUGCCUGUCUUGCAAAUCUUAUUCCACGGGAAGCCAACCAUCUGUUUUUGAAAUUAAAUUUUCUAUGAUUUACUGUUGUUUCUUAUGGCUUCUUAUCAAUGAUUCUAAAAGUUUCUCAUGCCAUUGCAGUGACACUAAAAACAUUAGUCUAUUUUUGCUGUUUUGUUUUUUGAGCUCUCAUGUUUGAAUACGCAGUGACACUGAUAUUUCUUUGGACCCUCAAGUUCCAUUCAUUCCAUCCGUUGAGAUUUUGGUAAAGGCUCUACUGAUGAUGUCAUCUGCAGCUAUGAAAGUUGCUCCAGAUUCAUUUGUCAGAUUAAUACUUUGCUCACAUCACCCAUGUGUAGUUGGUAGUGCAAAAAGAGACGCUGUGUGGAAGGUACUACUUAUGUUUUGUCUUAUUCUGCUACAUGAUACUCUUUUUCACUUAUGGUUCUAUUUUCGGUUUCUAAUCGAUUUAUGAUCAACAUAUAAUCUAGGAGUUCAUUUGAACAGAAAGAAGACUGGUACCUUGUCCAUGUAAACUUGUUAUAGGUUGCAGUAGUGUUUAAAUAUUUGUGUGUUAUUGAUUGUAUCUACUUUGGUAGGAUGUGUUCGCAUUAUAAUGUGGAUAGUUGUAUGCAUAUUGGUUUUAGUCUGUUUUUGUACUCUCCAUACUCCAUAUCUGAUAUCUAUCCUUUCCAUUUUAUCUUUAAUAGAUCAUUUUGCCUUAGUUUUUCAUUGUGAAGGAUGUAUAAUAUGCCAUAUCAAGUGAGAUCAAUGCUUAUUGUGAGAGAUGAGAGGAAUAAAUAACGACCUUCAGAUCAAAAUAAACAGACCAGAUUUAAGAGGUUCCUUUACCUCUUUUCUUAUUCUCUCUCGCAAAGCAAAUGGUUUUAUUGAAUUAGAGACCUUUUUUUUGGACCAAAUUAAAGACGCUUGCUUCUUACUUUCUUAAAUUCCAGAUUGGGCAGGCAUGUAUUUUUUAAUCCUCGAAGACUUGAAACCCAUUUAUAGUUGGUUAUCGCCAUUAAAGACCCCUUCUUUCUUCAACUCCAUAUCGGGCAGCCAUUGCUUUUUUAAUCAAGUUGAAAUCCAUUUGUAGUUUUGUUUUAUGUCAAUUAAAGACCCCUUGUUUCUUCAACCUUAGGUAGGUUACAAUUUUUUAGCUUAAAUUUUAUACGUAGUUUGUGAACAAUUCUGAUUUUUAAAUUAUAGUAAAUAGAUAAAUGGGUUUGUUUGUUCUUGCAAAGACUUAUCUUCGACAAUUUUAGCACCAACAAGAAAAGACAUGUUCAUUUUUUUUUACUCAAAGAAAAGAUGUAUUAAUGAAAAUAAAAAAUCUGCUAGAGGCACAAAAAAGCAAUAUCCUCUUCGGUAAUAUCCCCAGAAUACGUUAUUUUCUGUGUUUUUCCUCUCUUUGGGUCGAGUGGUAUAGGCGUGUAGCAGUAUUAAGCAACUCGCGAGCAAUUUUAAUUAAACCUUUUAAUUAGGUCCGUUUAUUUUGAUCUAGGGGUUGUUAUUUAUUCCUCCCAUAUCUCACAAUAUGACGCCCCUCUCACUUGAUAUGCCCCCUAUAUAUAUAAUAUAAUAUUUUGGAACCCACAUACCAAUACUCUUCUAAUCAAAAUUGCAGUAAUAUUUAACCAUUGUAAUGAUAUAGAUUGGAAUUUUACAUGUUUGGAGCACACUUUUUUUGGUAAAAAAAAAAGCAUAUAAAUAUACAGAUCAAAGAAAGUCAUAUUACAUAGGCAGACAGUGCAUGUCCAUAUUUUGGAAGCCAAUUAAACCAAGGACCUUCAUAGAAAGUAGAUCCCAAUUAAUAAUUUAGCCCCUUUUCUACCAAGGCCCUUAAGUCUUAUGGGAAUUUGUGCCUUAAUGGGAGGAAACAUUUUAUUUUAAUUAAUAUACUAAAAACAGUAGAUAUUUGCUCCAGGUGGAGGUAAUUGUAGGAAAGUUUAAAAGUAAAUAAGCAGCUGCUUCAUAGUUAAAGCCGUCAAAAUCACCAUAGGAGAGAGGACUAUGUAUGUCUUUACUCUUUAGCCAAUACAUAAAUAACAUACUUGCUCUCUUUAUAUCUUUAUUUUAUUUUAGUUUUUAUAGAAUAUAAAUAUUUCAACAUCUUAAAUUUUGGGCUGGACCUAACUCAACCUUACAAGACCGGAUUGUAAGGCGAGGAUUACCCCCACUUAUAAACAUAUCUUCAGGCCAUCUCUCAUCAAAUGUGAGACUUUUGCUUAGCACUAUGGGGCUUGGUGCGUGGAUAUAAAUGGUGGGUGACCUACUGAACUUGGAGAGGCUUUGAUACUAUCCUAUAAUUUUGGGUUGGGCCUAACUCAACUUUACAAAAUUGACUUGUAUGGUGAGAAUUGCCCCCACGUAUAAAAUAUCUUCAGGUCAUCUCAUUCAAUGUGAGAUUCUUAACACAACAAAAUAUUUUUAUAAUUUUUUCUUUGACGUGUGUUUGAAUGAGUAAACUACUCCAUUUGUUAUGAGAUGUUGAUCAUUGUUUUUACCAUUUGGAAGUGUAACUGUAAAUUGCAUUUCUUUGCAUGUCUAAUAAUAUACAUGGUGAUUAGAUCUUUACUCACCGUCUUUAGUGUGUUGUAAUUUUUUUUUUGUUGGUUGGUUGACUUGUUUCAUUCUUUUUCCAGAGGCUGUCUAAGUGUCUGCAAGCACAUGGCUUUGAUGUAAUUGAUAUUGUGUCUGCUAAUGUCGUAAACAUUGUACAGGUAAUGAACUGCAAAUCUCUGGUGGAUUUGUUCAUGUUGGUAGAGUAGCUGAUGUUUGAUUUGAAUCUUAUGAAGGGAUUAAUAUAUUAAAUAUCUAAAUUUUCUUUUCCCUUAUACUCUGGCAAAAUCUAGUCACCUGCUCAUAUGAUUAUUUUUGUUUCUUUUGGUUGAAUCUAAUAUUUAAUUGCAUCAUUCAAAAUUUCUACCUAUUGUUUGGGGAUGGUACAGUUGUAGCACCAUAGAAUUGGCUAUAUACUCUAUUGUCUAAUUAUGUGCAUUUGAUAAAGUGACAUUCUAACUCAUGGAUACUUCAUUUUUCUAUUUUGUUUGUCUAUGUAUUUUGUCUUGCUUUGUAAAUCGUCUACUUUUGUCCUAUUGGUUUGACCACAAUUUCAUGUACUUUGUAUCUCUUUAGGAAAGGUUAAUUUUGUAUGCUAACUGGUCAGAUGGUAUGUUGUAUUGCAGGUCUUACUGGGACCAAUGGGUUUGAGGAGUGUUAAUCCACUAGAACAAGAAGCAGCAAUAUCAUCACUGUCCAACUUGAUGUCUAUAAUCCCUGGAGAUACAUAUACAGAGUUUGAGAAGGUUGACAUAUUAUUCUAUAUUUAUAGUUUGUUUAUUGUUCAUUUGGAGAUAAACUUCUAAGAAUGUGAUUGAUCUGUCAAUAUGAAUUCUUAUCGCUGACUACUAUACUACAUAUUCCUGAUGCCAGCAUUUGCUAGAUCUUCCUGAGCGGUUUUCUCAUGAUGCACUUUCAGAGAAUGACGUCCAGGUAAUUCACAUACCCCUCAUACCGAACACAAUAGGACUUAAUGUGUGGAUAAUACUAGUGGCCCUUAAACGGAUAUAAAUAGACUUUAAAACAAUCUUAGGUUUUUGGGUAGCUAAAUCCCACAAAAAACCAGCUUGCAUGGCGAGUCAUGGUUUAGCUUUAUAAGCUCUAUUUAGGCCUUGUCUCUAGCUAAUGUGGAACUUGUGAUUAUGACUUUCAAUUUCAUUAGUUUGUUUUUUUUUUGUUUUUAGUAAAAGAAAUAUAAAAAAAGUAAAUGGGGAGUUUAUUUAUUCUUUUAAUUCUAUUUCUGAAAUGAACUCAGGAGGGAGUUUUCUCAAUAUACAGGGUAGUUGUCUCUUGUUAGUCUGUUAUAACAAACUGCUAACAACAAAAAUAAUUAUCUGAUUCUGUUUAUGUCGACUAUACAAUGAGCAUAACAAUAAUACCAAUUUGCCUAUUUUUGGUUACUUGGUUUCAGAUCUUUCAUACGCCUGAAGGAAUGCUUUCUACUGAGCAAGGCAUUUAUAUUGCUGAAUCUGUUGCUUUUACGAACACAAAACAAGCAAAGGGCCGUUUCCGGAUGUAUAAUGAUGAAGAUGGCUUGGUACAUCUAGUUUUUUUUUCUUCCUGUUUUCUUUGCUCCAUUCCCAGUGAGUUUUGUUUAGGUAUGUUCUGUUUCUUUGACCAGGAUCAUGCCCAAUCUAACCAUUCAAUGAAGAGAGAUCAACCUAGUAGAGAAGCGGCUGGCACAGGGAAAAAGGACACUGGGAAGGCAACAAAGAAGGCUGGCAAGUGUUCCACUUCUAUUGGUCUGAAGUUUGUAUUUUUUUGACUUUGAAGUUUGCAUAAGAUGGUUUUGAUUGACAACUGCUUGUGAUUCAUUUAGACAAAGGGAAGACAGCAAAGGAAGAGGCAAGAGAAUUGCUGCUUAAGGAGGAAGCUUCAAUACGUGAUAGAGUCCGUGAAAUACAGAAAAAUCUGUCUUUGAUGCUAAGAACUCUUGGAAAUAUGGCCAUUGCUAACUCCAUUUUUGCACAUAGUAGGCUGCCUUCAAUGGUAUUGGAAUGCUUCCUACUAAUAUAAUUAAUGCCACUUGAACUAACUACUAACUCAAUAUUUUGUUAAAUUUGCAGUGCAUUUAUUGAAGCAUUCAUUUUUUUUAUUUCCUACUGUCUAUUCCUUUUUUAUUUGAGUGUAAUAACAUAUUAGUGCAAUUCUGGUUUAAAUAUUUGUCAGGUCAAAUUUGUUGAACCUUUACUGCGAUCACCUAUUGUAAGUGAUGAGGCUUUUGAAACCCUGGUGAAGUUAUCAAGAUGCACGGCUCCUCCUCUAUGCGAUUGGGCCCUUGACAUUUCCACUGCCAUACGUCUAGUUGUGACCGAUGAAGUUCACCUUCUGUUGGAUCUUGUUCCAUCAUUUGCUGAAGAGGAAGUCAACCAAAGGCCAUCCCAUGGCCUUUUUGAGCGAAUUAUAGAUGGCUUAUCCACUUCUUGUAAAUCAGGAGCCCUCCCUGUUGAUUCUUUUUCUUUUGUAUUCCCUGUAAGCAGUUAUACUUUCAAACUCAAUUUAAUCAAUUUAGCAAGGCUUCUGUGUUUCUAAUUCUAUUUCUGGAUAGAUAAUGGAGAGAAUUCUUCUGUGCUCAAAGAAAACAAAAUUUCAUGAUGAUGUGCUUCGCUUAAUUUACUUACACAUGGAUGCUCAUCUACCUCUUCCUAGGGUUCGAAUGCUAUCGGUAAUUUUUCUUACAUUUCAUGCUUUAUUGUCAUCUGUUUUGUUUUACCUAUUGCUUUCCAUCUUAUUAAAACUAUUUUCUGUAGGUUCUUUACCAUGUCCUUGGUGUUGUUCCAGCUUAUCAAGCAUCAAUAGGACCUGCUCUAAAUGAGCUGAGUCUUGGUUUCCAGCCUCACGAAGUUGCUUCUGUACGCAUGCUUUUCUCUAUUUGCAUUGCUCUCUCUCUGUCUGAGUUAUGUUUCUCUAUAACAAUGCUUACAGUAGUUCUCAAUUUGUGAUUUUAAAGGCACUUUAUGGGGUUUAUGCAAAAGAUGUUCAUGUGAGAAUGGCAUGCUUGAAUGCCGUCAAGUGUAUCCCUGCUGUUUCUAGCCGUUCUCUACCCCAGAAUACUGAGGUUGCAACAAGUAUAUGGAUAGCAUUACAUGAUCCUGAGAAGGUUUGCCCCCUUGUUCCCUCAAAAUUUACAAGGUCCAUUCUUGCUCUUUCAAUUUCUCUUGUGCACAAGGAAUAAACUGUGGCUUUGUAAAACGUGUGAUAUGAUUUAUUGGCUUAUUUGUUUUUAAUUCUAUUUUACUUUAGAGUAUAGAAAGAAACUAAGAGGCUUGGCUUGCCCACUUAGUUGAGUGAGAGAUAUCAUUAAUAAACUAAGAGGCUAAUUUACUCAAAUGCAGUUACAGUAGCUUUUUAUUAAUUAAGGUUUUAAUGGCUUUCUUAUUCCUUGUUCAAAAACUUAAAUUAAUAAUUACUGAUAAUUUAAAACAAAGUAGCACUUAUAUCGUUAAUUAUAUUUUCCUGGUAAAAUUAACUUACAAAAUUCAUUGAAUAAUGAUUUGUGAGAAACUAAAUAUAAGCCAAUACUCUAGUUAUGAUUUCUUUGAUAAUGGUUUCGGGAGGUUCUCAUUCACUUUGUAUCUCUACAGAGGCUCUUAUUUAAUGCAUUUGGAAAGUUCAGAUUUCUACUUCUGUAUAUUUUUCCUACAAUUCCUUUAACUCCAACUAUAUUAUGACGACUAAUUUACCAUGUUCAACAUUUCAGUCAGUUGCUGAAGUGGCAGAAGACAUAUGGGAUCAUUAUGGGUUUGACUUUGGAACAGAUUUUUCGGGAAUUUUCAAAGCACUUUCUCAUGUUAACUACAAUGUCCGCCUGGCAGCUGCUGAAGCUUUAGCUGCUGCGUUGGAUGAACACCCAGAUAAUAUACAAGUAUGCUUGCUUAUAACUUUAACACAUCGUUGGACAUUUUAUCUCAUAUCUACUAAUAUUUUUCAGGAGUCCCUUUCCACUUUAUUUUCACUGUAUAUUCGUGACAUGGGAAAUGGAGAUGACCAUGUUGAUGCUGGUUGGCUGGGUAGGCAAGGUGUAGCAUUAGCACUACAUUCUGCUGCUGAUGUGUUGAGAACAAAAGACCUACCCGUUGUAAUGACAUUUCUAAUAUCAAGAGCACUGGUAAUUUAUACUGCCAUUUUUGAAAAAUUACAUUACAAUUUUCAAACUGAAACCUACUUUCAUGCUGAAUUGCUCACAUUUGUGGUCUGUUGAAGUUAUAUAGUUAGUCUUAGUAUAGAGGGAGAAAUAGGAUUACUCAUGAUUGAUGUUAUUGUAGAAGAUAUAGCUCUAUUUCGUAUUUAUACUGAUACUAUACUCUUUAUCAUCCUCUUCAGUGAAACACAUAAUGCUAUAUAAAGAUGGUUUUACAAACUGAAAUAUUAGAAGAUAGUCUUACUCUAAAUUAAUUAGGAUACAGCCUUGAUUUUAAAAGAAAACUUCAAUAUGUUCAAACAGAAUCAACACCUUGAUUAGGAUAAAUAUUUUGUAUGAAUCAAAAAUGAAUUUUUUUAGUGAGAUAAUUAAACUUCAUUAACCUGUUAAUAUCUGAUAUAGCUAAUUGAAUCCAUUUUCUGUACACAAACACCCCCCGCCACCCCAAUACAGACUCAUACUCGAAUUUUUUUAAAUUGAAUCCUUUUAUUGCUAUGAAGAUUUACAGACUACAAAUAGUAUAAUACUACUAAACACACAAGGGGAACUUGGAAAACAUUAUAUAAAGACCUAUAUACCAUAAACCUAUGCCCAAAUACAUUAGAAGUGAAAUAUAAUGCAGCAAGUUCUGACGAGGAAGUUGAAUUAUUAAAAAAAAUUCUAAUGCUUGUUACUUUCUGUAAAGGAAGUAUAGUACCAUAAUAAUAGAAUCGGCCUAAAUUUAAAACUAAAUGUUGAGGAUCUAUGAUCUUCACAGUUAUGCAUUGUUGAUAGUAGUGUUUGUAUCAAUUCUGCUAGUGAACUUUUAUCAUGUUCUGUAGGGUAAUUUUUGAAGCAAGUAUUUAUUUAACAUUAAAUGGAAAAUAACUUUUGACUGUGGGGUUGAUUUGAUUUGCAGGCUGAUCUAAAUGCUGAUGUUAGAGACAGAAUGAUUAAUGCUGGUAUUUUGAUCAUUGAUAAAAAUGGAAAAGACAAUGUCUCAUUGUUAUUCCCGAUAUUUGAGAACUAUUUGAACAAAACGGUGAGUUCCAUGUCAUAUUGGAGAUACAUAUUGCAAAUACUCCUCGUGUGAUUUUUCUUUGUCUGUAAUCCGACAAUUCAUAUAUAGGAAUUAUAGGUGAUCAUUUGUUAAUAGAUUCUCCCAAAUUUCUUAGGCACCAGAUGAAGAACAGUAUGACUUGGUUCGCGAGGGUGUGGUUAUCUUCACCGGAGCUCUGGCAAAACACUUGUCCAAGGUUAUUACUAAAGUCCCAUUUUUAUGGAUUGAUUUUUGGUUUUAGUAGCAAGUUGAAUUUAAACUUUUAUAUAAUAUUUAUACUCCUGUUUGAGCAGGAUGACCCCAAGGUUCAUGCUGUUGUUGACAAAUUGUUGGAUGUUUUAAACACUCCUUCAGAAUCUGUUCAACGGGCUGUUGCUUCCUGUCUAUCACCAUUAAUGCAGUCAAAACAGGUAUGCAAGAGCAGUGUUAUUGUUAUCAUUCAAUGCAUUUAGUUCUGUUUCCAUGGAAGAUUAUUAGGUGGAUCUUGACAGGAGUUUCUCUAUUUCUUCGCAUUAUAUAAAAAUGGGGUAUAAAAAUCCUUGUGCAUAAACGUUGGGAUCAUAUGUUAUACUCACACCAGCAAUAGGUUCAAUGUGAAUAGGUCAUGAUGUUUGGUCUUUUGAAACAUUUACAUACUUAUGCAGUAGUUAGGGGUGUGCAUGGUCGGAUAAUUUGACAAACCAAACCAUAUCCAAACCGAAACCAUUUAAUUGGAUUUGGAUUCAUAACCAUAACCAUAUUUUAUUAUAAACCGGUUAUAAAACUGGUUNNNNNNNNNNNNNNNNNNNAAAAUUGACCGAAAAACCGAAAAAAUCGGCGGAAAAACCUAAAAUCGGCUGAAAAACCUAAAAUCGACCAAAAGCCCUAAAAUCGACUAUAAACUCUAAAAUCGGCUGAAAACCCAAAAAAUCAAUCGAAAACCCAAAUAUCGACCCUAAACCCAAAAAAUCGGCCGAAAAACCUAAAAUCGGCAAAAAACCCAAAAAUCGACUAUAAACCCAAAAAUCGACUGAAAAACGAAAAAUCGACCGAAAAACGAAAAAAUCGACUAUAAACCCUAAUAUCGGCCGAAAAAUGGGUUUAUAGUCGAUUUUAGGUUUUUCGGCCGAUUUUGAGGUUUAUAGCCAAUUUCAGGAUUUUGGGUCGAUUUUAGGUUUUCGGCCGAGUUUUUUGGGUUUAGGGACGAUUUUAGAUUCUUCGGCCGAUUUUUUGGAUGUUGGCCGAUUUUGGAUUUUCGGUCGAUUUUUUGUUUUUCGGCCGAUUUUUUAGGUUUUCGGCCGAUUUUAGGGUUUAUAGUCGAUUUUUGGAAUUUUGGCCGAUUUUAUGUUUUUCUGCCGAUUUUUCGGGUUGCCGUCCGAUUUUAGGGUUUAUAGUCGAUUUUUUGGAUUUUGGCCGAUUUUAGGUUUUCGGCCGAUUUUUUGGGUUUUCGGUCGAUUUUUGGUUUUUCGGCNNNNNNNNUUUAAGUUUUUCGGCAAAUUUUUUAGAUUUUUGGCCGAUUUUAGGGUUUAUAGUCGAUUUUUGGGCUUUUGGCCAAUUUUAGGUUUUUUCUGCCGAUUUUUCGGGUUGCCGGCCGAUUUUAGGUUUUUAUAUGAUAAUUAGCGUAAAAAAAAUAGUCAAAAGUUUCAUAUCAAAAAAUGAAGAAAUGCGCAAAAAGUCUAAUCCAAUGGAUUUGGACAUGGAUAUGGACAUUUAAUUAAAUAACCGGAUUUACAUAAUGGAUACCCAACCAUUUUUAGAAUGGUCUGGUUAAUAUCUGUUUCCAAAUAACUGGUUAUUUGGAGUUGGUUUUGGAUUUGGAUAUAAUCAUAUCCAUAUGACCGGAUAUUUUGCACACCCCUAGCAGUAGUAUUUUGCUGAUAGUUAUACUUGAACCACUUGGCAAAUUCUUGCAGUAUCCAUGUCCUUGUUUGAUAGCAAUUCCAUUUUGUAAAGAGUUCAAAUUUGCUUGUUAUUCUGUGCACAACUUCAUCAAAUUUCAUGGCAAUUUCAUAUGAUUAAAUUUGCCAUACGUUUUCUGGAUGUUUACUGAAUUGAAUGUUUUGUUAUUUUAUUUGAUAUCUUCCAUCAUUAGGAUGAAGCAGCAGCUCUUGUUACUCGAUUGUUGGAUCAGAUGAUGAAAAGUGAAAAAUAUGGAGAACGCCGGGGGGCUGCUUUUGGACUUGCGGGAGUGGUUAAGGGAUUUGGCCUUUCUUGCUUGAAAAAGUAUAAGAUUGUGAUUAUUCUUCAAGAGUGUCUUGCUGAAAGGUUGGAGUGUUCUUUAUUAGUAUUUUUAAACGAAUGUCUAUCUUCAAAAUUCCCAGCAGUGGAUGGAGUUUCAAGAAAAAAUGUAGUUUAUUUUCUUUUUAACAGUCCCAUGGCCAUUGAUGUUUAAGAAAAGGAAAUAUACCUGCCUUAGAUUCUGUUAUUUUCAAACUACAGGAACUCUGCAAAAUCUCGUGAAGGAUCCUUACUUGGAUUUGAAUGCCUUUGUGAAACGCUUGGAAAACUGUUUGAACCGUAUGUUGACAAGUUUUUGACCCAUUAGUGAUUGAUUCUUUAUGUAGUUUUUUUAUGGUUUUAUAUUCUUCUCACUGUGAUUGUUUCAGGUACGUGAUCCAGAUGUUACCAUUGCUUUUGGUUUCCUUCUCUGAUCAAGUAGCUGCAGUUCGGGAAGCAGCUGAAUGUGCGGCCCGUGCAAUGAUGUCUCAACUUAGCGCUCAAGGAGUGAAGCUUGUCCUUCCAUCUCUUUUGAAGGUGAUUGGCGUUGCUUAUAAUUAUGAAUGACAACAAUUUUUGUGUGCAGGUCUAGGUUCACAAUAUAUAAUACAUUUACACUAUACAGUGAUUAGUUAUACACAUUUUUUAUGUAAAUUAAUAAUUUAUUGAUUAAGCAAUACCUCUCAAAAUUUAUAAGAUUUCAUCUUCUCAACAUUAUUAAGUUAUAAAGGUUUUCUCUAUGAUGUUUGUGACAUUUACUGUGCUUCUAUUGCAAAGAACUAUUCAAUAGUUUUUAUAUUUGCUCCCAGGGUCUUGAGGAUAAAGCUUGGAGGACAAAACAAAGUAGUGUACAAUUACUUGGCGCUAUGGCUUACUGUGCUCCUCAACAGUUGUCUCAGUGCCUCCCUAAAAUUGUACCAAAAUUGACUGAGGUAUUAGAAUUAGAUUAAACAAUCACAUUAUGACAAGUAUGUUUCUUGUAAUUUAUUGGUUUCAUUACCUAAAUCUAUUUCUUUAUUUGAAGGUUUUGACUGAUUCCCAUCCUAAAGUCCAGUCAGCUGGGCAAACGGCCCUUCAACAGGUUAGCCUUGGUAUUACUUGCUGCUUGGAUUAUUGGUGUGUUUUACUUACAUUUUUUAUAUAUUCCUCUUUAGGUUGGAAGUGUGAUAAAGAAUCCAGAAAUAUCAGCUCUUGUCCCUACACUACUUAAAGGACUUAGUGAUCCUAAUGAGCAUACAAAAUAUUCCCUUGAUAUUCUUCUCCAAGUAGGGUUUACGGCAUGUACUUUGGCGGUUUAAGUCUUAUAUUGUGUUGCCUUUAAUCUGAUACCUUUGAUUGCAGACAACCUUUGUUAAUUCGAUUGAUGCCCCAUCACUUGCAUUGUUGGUACCAAUAGUACACAGAGGAUUGAGGGUACGGAGUGCUGACACUAAGAAGAGAGCUUCACAAAUAGUAGGAAACAUGUGUUCCUUGGUUACAGAGCCUAAGGACAUGAUUCCAUAUAUAGGAUUAUUGCUCCCUGAAGUCAAAAAGGUACUUUCUCAUGUUAGAUUUUACAAUAGCUGUAUUGGCAUUGACCCUUUGUUCAUUUCAUGUUGAUAUCAUGAGGCCAGGUUCUUGUGGAUCCUAUCCCAGAAGUUCGGUCAGUUGCUGCUAGAGCCAUUGGAUCCCUUAUAGGAGGAAUGGGUGAAGAAAAUUUCCCUGAUCUUGUCCCAUGGUUGUUUGAAACUCUGAAGUCUGAUAAUAGUAAUGUUGAGCGCUCUGGAGCGGCUCAAGGCCUGAGUGAGGUCAGUUCCCCCACACCGUCUUCGGUUAUAUUUUUUAAGCAACUUGCAAAUUUAUAUAGUUACCCUUGGCUUCUAUCAUCAUGAACAAAUUCUUCCAAAGGCUUAAGCUGUUAAGUAAAAAUACCUGAAUUGUUUUAUAUUACAUUUCUAAAUCACUCGUUCACUCAAAUGCCCCUUUUGCCUGAAAAAUGGACAAUGCACAAGCAGCAUCCUCGUGCUAAUAUUUAACAUUUAGUUGAAGUGGGUCUUGAGGCCAUGUUCAAAUUGGUGGAAAAGGAUGGAAUGAUGUUAGGUUCAAUUUUUUGGAUUAUUCAAAAAUUGCUUGCGCUAUUUAACGUUUUUUUUUUCUUUACCUCCACUUGGGUGAUAUGGGAUGGAACUGAUCUUUCCCCCAUUCAAUCAUAAAACUAUCAAAACAAUAUAAUGGAAGCCUCAUUAUCAUAUAUCCAAACAUAGCUUCAUCAGCACUAUCUGUUAUACUAUUAAAUACUAACACCUAAAACAAAUAUGUACUUUGAUUAAUGAAAAUUGAAAAGAAAUUGUGAAGUUGUUAUCUGAGUUAAAUACUUGUGUAGUACCCGACUUGACUAUUUAUCACAUAUUAGUUGUGAUCAGAAUUUAAUAUAGCAUCACUCUUUGAAGAUGUAUUUUACCUUGUUUAAUUUAACCUAUUUGUUGUACUCCUCCAUCACUUGAACAAACUUCAGGUCUUAGCUGCACUUGGUGUUGCGUUCUUUGAGCAUGUAUUGCCAGACAUUAUUCGAAAUUGCUCCCAUCAAAAGGCAUCUGUUCGAGAUGGAUACUUGACACUGUUUAAGGUGAAACAAUUGAAGUGGAUUUUUAUUCUCAUUUAUAAUAUUUUUGAAGAUUAUUUUUUACCGAAGAUUGUUUAAUCAACUUUCCCAAAUAUUUUAGUAUUUGCCACGGUCCUUAGGAGUCCAGUUCCAAAAGUAUCUUCCCCAGGUGCUGCCUGCAAUCUUAGAUGGUAUGAUACUUUUCUCUUUUGGGCCCAGUAAUUUGCAUUUAAUUCUGUUCACGGUCUGUUAUAUCUAAAUUUAACAAAUUCCAUAUUUUUUAAAUCUUUUUAGGUCUUGCUGAUGAGAACGAAUCAGUCCGUGAUGCUGCACUAGGGGCUGGCCAUGUCUUGGUCGAACAUUAUGCAACAACGUAUGUUUAUCUUUGUUUAUAUGCAUCACAUUGUCUAUGCUUCUUAUUGAUCUUGAUUUUAGUAAAAUGUGCAUGCGUGAAGUUAAAUGCAAAUGAACUAUUGAAUUAUUCAUGUUAGAGAUAUUGCUUGGUUUGCUAUUUCUUGGUACACAUUCAUGAUGAAUGCUGCAGAUUAGGUUGCCCUGCUAUUAAUUUUUUUCUGCUAUUAAUUUUUUUCUGCUAUUAAUUUUUUUUCUUUUACAUUUUCACAGGUCUCUACCUCUGCUCCUACCAGCUGUUGAGGAUGGCAUAUUUAAUGAUAGUUGGCGUAUUCGACAGAGCUCCGUGGAGCUAUUGGGGGACCUAUUAUUCAAAGUAUGCAGUGGUCUUAUUACAACAAUUAAAUCACGGAACAUGAUUUGAUUCAUGAGCCAAUUUAUUCCUUUCAGGUUGCUGGAACUUCUGGUAAAGCUUUACUUGAGGGGGGAAGUGAUGAUGAAGGUUCUAGUACUGAGGCUCAUGGACGUGCCAUCAUUGAGGUUCUGGGGCGUGAAAAGCGUAAUGAAGUACUUGCUGCACUGUAUAUGGUUCGAGCAGAUGUUAGUUUGUCAGUACGUCAGGUAAUGAUUUAUCUGCUCAUCACUUUUUUCUUGACAAGGUUCAUUAUGAUCUGGGAAUAUAAAUCUCAACAGUCAAAACUGAAUGCUUCUUUUCUCAGGCUGCAUUACACGUGUGGAAAACUAUUGUGGCAAAUACUCCAAAGACUCUUAGGGAGAUUAUGCCAGUUUUGAUGGAUACUUUAAUUGCAUCCCUUGCAUCUGCAUCAUCUGAAAGGCGGCAGGUAUGCACUUAAAUAUAUCUGUUUCAACUUAUGUUCAGUCACAGUUUUCAGAAAUUAUAUGUCCCUAUUGUUGAUUUUCAUAUAGGUUGCUGGACGAUCACUUGGUGAGCUUGUCAGAAAGCUUGGUGAACGCGUGCUUCCCUUGAUAAUCCCAAUUUUAUCUCAGGGUCUGAGUGACCCUGACAGCAGCAGAAGACAGGUUAGAAUAGUUUGUGGCAUUCAAAUCAAUAAAAAAUAUACAAUGGACAGACAUAUCAAAAGCCAAUAGCUCAUGUUAUUUGAUACAAUUAUAAUUUGCUUGGAAGGGUGUAUGUGUUGGUCUGAGUGAAGUGAUGGCAAGCGCUGGUAAAAGUCAGUUGAUGACCUUCAUGACCGACCUCAUCCCCACUAUUCGGACUGCCCUUUGUGAUAGGUAUGUGUAUUUUAAUGUGUUCACAAAUUUUUGAAUUUUUUAUACUGCACUAUCUUAUAUUUAGAUGGAUAUCUUUACAGUGAGCCUGCAGUUCGUGAAUCAGCGGGCUUAGCCUUCAGCACUCUGUACAAGGUUGUCCUUUUUACUCUCUGCUUGAUUUUCUGUGUUCAAGCUUUUGCUAGUGGCAUCUGACAUUAAACCUAAAUGUUUUACUAUACCUUAUCUCUGAACAAAUUGCAAUGCAGAGUGCUGGAAUGCAAGCUAUCGAUGAGAUCGUUCCGACUCUUCUACAUGCAUUGGAGGAUGAUGAAACUUCUGACACUGCACUUGAUGGCCUUAAACAAAUUCUGAGGUAACAUGUGUGGUGCUGUUGUUGUCAUAGGCUCAUGAAUAGUGAAUCUAUUGUUUCUACCAACUUGUCAAUUGACUAACUAUUAUAUUUUCUUUUUAUAGUGUAAGAACAAGUGCAGUCUUGCCUCACAUUCUACCCAAACUGGUUCAUCCUCCAUUGUCGUAUGUGUCUCUAUGUUUUGUUCCUUUGUUCUGGAUGCUUUAUCAUUUGCAUUUUAAUUAAAAAAUUGCUGGUACAUGAUCAGUGCCUUCAAUGCGCAUGCUCUGGGGGCUUUAGCAGAGGUUGCUGGGCCUGGUCUUGACUUUCAUCUUGGUACUGUGCUUCCUCCUUUGCUAUCAGGAAUGAGUAAUGUUGACCAGGUAGAAAAUACACAUAAUUUGAAGAUAAUACAUCUUUAUACAUCCUAUUUGCAAUUUAAAUUUGACUGUUUCAUGAGCCUUUGUUCUAUAGAAUGUAGAGUAUUAUUUAUUAUUUAAUCCUUUUUUGUUGAUUGUUGAAAUUCUAGGAGGUUCAAACUUCUGCUAAGAAGGCUGCCGAGACAAUAGUCUUGGUUAUUGAUGAUGAAGGUGUUGAGCCACUAAUAUCAGAGCUUGUGAAAGGUGUUAGUGAUAGCCAGGUAUAUGCCUUGUAAUAACCACUGGAUUUUUUAAUUUUCCUCAGUAUUUAGUCCUCCACUUUUAUUUAUUUAUUUAUUUAUUUUAUUUUUGACAAUUUAUGUAAACAGGCUGCUGUCAGAAGAUCCAGUUCAUAUCUGAUAGGAUAUUUCUUCAAAAACAGCAAGUUAUACCUGGUUGACGAAGCUCCAAACAUGAUAUCUACCCUAAUCAUUUUGCUGAGUGAUAACGAUUCAUCUACUGUUACUGUAAGCUGAAUUAGUUGUUAAUAUUAUUAUACUUAUAUACCCUGUUGAAAUCGAGUAUGAUAUUUAUAAUUUGAUUUUCUUAAGGCUGCUUGGGAAGCUUUGUCAAGGGUCAUUAUUUCGGUACCCAAGGAGGUACUCCCUUCAUAUAUAAAACUAGUUCGUGAUGCUGUAUCCUCGUCCCGAGACAAGGAACGAAGGAAGAAGAAGGUAGAGCUGUAAUUUUGAAAAUUAUUCCUUAUUGUGGUUUUUGGAUAUUGUCUUCUAAUUUCUUAAUGGCUAUUUUGACUGUUGCUAAUGCUUGUAUUUUUUAUGAUCACUUUGCAGGGAGGACCAGUUCUCAUACCUGGAUUUUGUCUUCCUAAAUCACUGCAGCCCAUAUUGCCAAUUUUUCUCCAAGUAUUCUUUUUCUUUACUUUGAAAUUUCUGCAUCUUGUUUUGUAUACCUUAUGUGUUUUCUACUCUAAGUUACUUGGUGAUAUGUACCAACAGACAAUAAGAACAGAACUGUAUUCAGUAUAUCAAUGAAAAAGAAGUUCUGUAUCUGAAUUAUAUAACAAAUCCUUUGCAUAGUGAUUACAAUAAAGAAAAUAUUUAAAACUAAAUGAAAGGAACCAAUGCAACUUUAAGAGUGAUAUGUCGGUCCCAUACCCCACCUAUUUAAAUUCCAGACAAAAUUUCUCUCCUCUCUAUCAUGCUUAUACUACAAAUCUCCUCUCCCGUACAUAUUCAUGCCCUUGCCACCAUUGGAAUCACUGUUCACCAAUCUACGCUGUCCCUAAAUCUUCCGCCAAGAUCAGGAGUCACACUCUUUCUAUGUCCGCUGACAAAAAAUCAGACUCCACGUGUGGCGGUGCCUGCAACCUCCUUUCCAGACAAUUCUUCCUCCAGUCGGCGUCGACUCUCCUCUCUUCUCUGUUGCGGGAGAGAACGUCCUCUAUAAUAGUUGUCAGAACUGAGUGAUCUCAUUUAGCUGUGAUUUACUUGACGUUUGUAGAACCUGAACACUGUUCUCCACAUUUAAAUUGCUCUGCUAAUCUUUCUAUAGAAAACCUUUUCAUGGGUUUCUCAUCAAGUUUAAUAAAUAAUUUUUGCAUUGCUUUAAUGUCAUUUAUUCUCAAAAAGGCUUUUGAUGGAUAUAAGCAUUGCUGUCUUAAUUUCCUUUGCGUGAUAUACUUCUUGUUGGAAGAUUUAUACAUUAAAUUCAUUCCAUUAAACUUUAUGCUCUCAGGGUCUCAUAAGUGGGUCUGCUGAAUUGAGAGAGCAGGCAGCAUUGGGACUUGGUGAACUGAUAGAGGUGGCUGGUGAACAAUCGCUCAAGGAGGUUGUCAUCCCAAUAACAGGGUAUGUGGUGGUAAUUUUUUUUUAAUCUAGAUUGCUUCUAAAUCUCUAUAUUUUAACUAAGCAAGUUUCAAAUAAUACCAUUUUGUUAUUGACUGUUUUCCACUUUACUUUUCCUGUGGUGACAUGAAACAUGCCUAAUCCAGCAAUUUUCAUCUGAGUCCAAUAUUUUAUAGUUGUAAAAAUGUCAAAUUAUUUUUGUUUCUUUUUGUAACAACUUAAGUUGUUAUUGUUUUUGGUUUUAUAUGGCAAGUGCAUCCUUGGCUGGUAGUUAUGCAUAAUUUCACUGCAAGGCACCAGGCGUAGCAGGCUUGCCAUUGUUCAUGGCCAACUGAAAUGCGAGAAAUUAUUUACUGUUGCUAGGAUGUUUGAUAUUUUAUACAUUCUGACUUUGAAAAUUCCGUAUGUCACAGGCCUCUUAUUCGCAUAAUAGGUGACCGUUUCCCAUGGCAAGUGAAGAGUGCAAUUUUGUCUACUCUGACUAUCAUGAUUAGAAAGGGUGGUAUCUCUCUGAAACCGUUUCUUCCUCAACUGCAAACAACAUUUGUCAAGUGUCUACAGGAUAAUACAAGGUUAGUAUGAUGAGAUAAUUGAUUUUUCCCCUUCAUCUAUUGCCAGUCUACCAUUUGUUUUUCACUAACAUUUUAGAAAAGCCUACAAUGGAUGCCCUUCAAUUUAGAUUUUAGAUUUAUGUAGACUUGACUUUGGUUUGUUAAGGAGUGUUUUAAUGAGAGAACAGGAAUUCAUUUUUGUAUUGGGUGAUAAUAUUGUGACUUGAUUACAAUGAAUUGCCUCAUCACUAUAUAUAUUAAGGCUCCCUAACUAACUGUAAGACUUGCAGAGAGCGAUUCUUAAACUAACAAAUCAAGUGACAGCUGUCACUGUACUAACAGGAAGAGCUGUAACUAGUGCAGUACAUUACAAAACAGAGCUACAUUUAGUGCAGUACAAUAUUUAAGUAGAACUAGCUAAUGUAAUACAAUUCUAGAAUGGAAGUACAAGUAGUAACUGAUCUCACACAAAGGGCCAAUUACCCUUUAGUGAGGAAAAUAAAGCAAAGUUAAUAUAUGAAAUCAUACAUUAAUAAAACCAUAAGGGAGAAACAAGCAGAUUUAAGUGAAUUAUUACUGGCCUAGCUGUCUAAUAUGUAACUGCAUCACUAUUUUCAUAGGUCUUGUUCAAUUUACCCGGUUGACUUUUUGGGUCAUAGUUUAGUGUUUAUUUUCUGUUGUUGGGGGAAUAUGCUCUGCAAAUUAGGCUUGAAAGUGCUGCUAUUCAUCUAAAAAUUGAUAUUAAUUUGGCUUACUUGUUUGCUUUGCCUAUUCCGUUAUUGAUGGUGUAGCAACAGCUUGUAUGUACUUUUAUAAUUGCUUAUUAAGUAUGUUAUUGCAGAACUAUCCGUUCUGGUGCUGCCCUGGCCCUUGGGAUGCUUAGUGGACUCAAUCCCAGGGUUGACCCUUUAGUUAGCGAUUUGCUUUCCAGUCUGCAGGUAAUUUUCUUAUCGAUAUUCUAGUUUAAGCUUGCUAUUAUUCUGACUUGAGCUAUUGCAAAUCUUAAACAUGUAAUAAUGCUGAAAUUACUUAUCCAAUGCAAAAAUGUUGGAUUUUGAAAUAUUUUAGGGAUCAGAAGGUGGUGUCCGUGAAGCUAUUUUGAGUGCUUUGAAAGGUGUACUGAAGCAUGCUGGGAAGAAUGUGAGCUCUGCUGUUAGAAGUCGUAUUUACAGUGUUCUGAAGGAUUUAAUUCAUCAUGAUGACGAUCGAGUUCGAAUGUAUGCUGCGAGCAUAUUGGGCAUGUUGACACAGGUUUGUAGAUUGUUGAAAAGAAUUUCAUUUACAAACUGUUGGAAUUUGAGAGGGAAAAAAUAAGUUUAAUUUUAUAAAAAAAAUUAAGCAUGCAAAUAGCAAUCCAUAGUCAGAUAGCUACCGAGGUAUUUUAUUUAUAAAAAAAAAAACCAAGUUUGCCUUGCAAGAUAUUCUCUUAACAGAAACCUUCAGCUAUUAUAAAUGACUUGUAACCAUAAAAAAAUCUAUUAUAACAUCCUGACAGACUGAAGAAGGUUUUAGUACAGCUAAGCAGUAUACAUGCUACGGAUAUAUCUUUAGCUUUAUAUAUUUCCAUCUCAAUCUUAUUUCUGUAUUUGAAUGUCCAUUUGUUAUUCUUCAACUUUGUUUUAAUAGAUACAAUUUUCCUGAGAUGUGGUGGUGAUAAUUUUUGUUUCUUGAUUAUGUCGUUAUCAUUACUAUCAUAAUCAUUUUAUUAUGUCAUUACCAUUAGCAUCAUUUUAUGUAUUCCUCAUAGUUGCUUAAUUCUGCUUCAUUGAUGGAUUAUGUCGUAAUUAUUUUUUUCCUGAUUUCUCUGUAAUUUAACUGCAGUAUCUCGAAGCAGAUCAAUUCACAGAGUUGAUUCAGGAACUGUCAAGUCUAGCUAAUUCAGCACACUGGCCUCCUAGGCAUGGUUCCAUCCUUACAAUCUCUUCCUUGCUCUAUCACAAUCCAGCUCCGGUUUUCUCGUCUUCCUUGUUCCCAACUAUUGUCGAUUGCCUUAGAGAUACAUUGAAGGAUGAGAAGGUGUGUGAAUCAGGAACUAUUAUCUUGUUAUAUAUAUAUAUAUAUAUAUAUAUAUAUAUAUAUAUAUAUAUAUAUAUAUAUAUAUAUAUAUAUAUAUAUAUAUAUAUUGGUUAAGUAGCCUAGUGACUAGAAGUUCCACCCUUAAGGUGGAUAAGUGGGAUGGCCGGGGUUCGAACCUCGGCCCCUUGCUUAUAUAAUGCAAUGUCCCUACCAACUGAGCUACACUCACGAGACAUUAUCUUGUUAUAUUUCUUACAAUUCUCAUUUCUUUCUUUUUUCUGUAUAACAGUUCCCUCUUCGUGAAAGUUCAACCAAGGCAUUGGGAAGGCUGCUUCUUUAUAGAGCUCAAGUGGAUCCUUCCGACCCAGUGCUUUACAAAGAUGUUCUUUCAUUGUUAGUUACAUCCACACGUGACGAAUCCAGUGAAGUUAGAAGAAGGGCAUUAUCUGCUAUAAAGGCUGUUGCCAAAGUAUGAAUUUGAGCAUCUUGCCUUCUCUAGAACAUUAUUGUUAAAAUUUUAUAUUUCUCAUUAAUGAAACAUUGCAGGCAAACCCUUCCGCUAUUAUGUCACAUGGCACGGUUAUUGGCCCUGCAUUAGCAGAGUGUUUAAAAGACACAAAUACCCCAGUUAGACUCGCUGCAGAACGAUGUGCUGUACAUGCCUUCCAACUAACAAAGGGUACAUUUUCCUGCAUUUUUUUAUAUAUAUGCUCUUUAUCCUAUAUUCUUACUUUAUUGCCUGUCAAUGUUGAUUAUAAGAAUGUUUUCAACUUCUAUUGACCAUUGAAAAAGGAUGACAAGUUAAGUUCAGCGUCUAACCUUGAAAUCAUUAAUAUAAAUAAAGAAUUAGAAUCUAAUCAAACUGUUUGUUUUUUUUCCCACCUACACUACCAACAAUGUGCUCUACCAUAAUGUGGUUCUCCUUUCAUAUUUGAAUUAUCAGUUUUUUGAAUCAAAAUCCUUUGGUUAGUUUGUUAAUGAUUUAUUUGUUUCCUCAGUUAUGAACCAUUUUUAUUCAGAAUCCUAGCUUGCCUGAAUAUCUGUUUGACAAACUUGAAAUGGCUUAUUACACUAUCCUAGGCCUACUGAACCAAAAUAGCUCAACGUUCUUUCCUUUCCUUUUCAGAUCAUUCUUGUCUUUGCAUGUCUACAAAAAAAGGCUUUUUCCACCAAUAUUUAAAUACAUCUCUACCUUAGCAACCAAUAAUUGGAAUGCAUACAUGCUUCUUACUCUCUUGUAUGGUUUUGGGUUUUAACAGGUUCUGAAAAUGUUCAAGCAGUACAGAAGUAUAUCACUGGCUUGGAUGCUAGACGUCUAUCAAAGUUUCCUGAAAAUAGGUACUUAUAUUAUCAAACAUGCAUUUUCAUAAAUGAUCACUUUAGGAGAGAAAUCUAAUUUUUUUAAGAAUGGGGGAGGAGGAAUAUUAUUAUUUAUUUACGGGGUGGCACUACUUCAUACAUUUCUCAAUGGGAUUCGAACUGUCCAUUUGUACUACAAAUCUAGGCAGUCACACUCACACCACUGGAUGCACUAACACCGCUAGGUAUAUUUCAUGGAGAAAUGAAAAUGACAUACAAAAAUAUGCUCACCACUUGAAAACAAAUCAUAUACUUGUAGCGUUUUGAAAAAAUUCUCUAAAAAAUUGAACUACUUACUACCAUUAUGGCUGAAGUUCUGUUCAGUAUCAGAAAUUAUUCAUGUAUUUCUCUCAUGGUUGCCUUUCCUGCAAUACAGUGAUGAUAGUGGAGACAGUGACGAAGAUAUGUCAACUAGUUAAGAAGUUUGUAUUUCAUUUCACUUGAAAAGGUGUAUACGGAAUAUCAAUCGACAACCAAAUGUGUAAUCGCAGCAUAUUAGAAUCAAAGAUAUAGAUAGGUAUACGCAUCGCAAGGCUUAUAACCCAAUUUUUUCUGCCUGGGUAUUUGAUUGUGUUAAUAUAAUUGUAAAUCAUGCGGCAAAUUGUCUGUAACAAUACUGUUGUUUUUAGUACUAAUUCAAUUUUGGUGGUAAUAUGUAUUUUGUUUUUCUGUAAUAUAUUUGUGUUCAUACGUCAAUCACGAGGCCUUUUGCAAUUCCACAUCCAUCAUUGCAGGUUCUAUUUUUUCCAUGCCUAUUUUUUCAGUAUACUUAAUUCACAUAAAAACUUAUUUAUUUGUAUAAUCUAUUCGUAUUAAGUAAAAAAUAAGUCAAUCCAAACUGUCCUAAGUAUAGCUACUUUAAAUUAAAAUUUGAAAAAAGUUUUUUCUUUUGCUUAUCCUUCUUUUCUCUUUCAUUCAACACCUUAAUAGAAAUGUAUUCACAUCAAUCUAUUAGAUUGAGUGACCUUACGGGGUCUCCUAAAACUACAUAAAAGAGAAAUCGAUAAUUUAAAUGUUGAUAAAUUAAACGAGCUUUGAGAGCCAUGAAAGAAGACGUACACGCCACAAAUUAUCAUUCAUUUUAGCAUAAAUUUUACUUGACACCCUUGAGUAUUUCUGUGUAGUUAGGAAGUUCAGAGAAACACUUAGAAAAUUAAUUUUAAAAAAAUUACUGGUCUACAUUUAUGAUAACAAAAAAAAUUAAUUUUUUUUUGGAUACACAUUAUACUUUUCCAACACCUUGAUGCCCCCAAUUUUAUUAUUGUUCUUAUAUACAAUAAUUUAUUCUUCUCCUUCACCUAGAGAAUAUUGAGAAAUGACUUCUUUUUACAUAGAUUGAAUUUUUCUUUAGGGAUGUUUUCUCUCGUGAUGUUCGUUUAGUUCUCGUCUUGUUAUGGUGUUUGUUUGAUUUUAAUUCUCUUGUUAUAUUUUUCUUCCACUUAACAUUAUAUAGUACCAUUAACCAAUAACUAGUUUGUCAUUGUUACAUGUAUGAAUAUUUUUGUCACUUUAAUUUUCUCACAUUAAUUGCAAGUAUCUUAGCCGUUUUAUAUUAUUAAUUUGGAUAAUGAGUUUGUUCACAAUUUUUUAUUUUUUGUAUUGUUAACUUGCAUCUUAGGUACUCGACCAAUUUGAAUGAAUAUCAAUUUUUAGUAAAAAAAAUAUGUUUCUAAACCUUAAGGAUCUGCUAUUAAGAAUGGAGGGAUUACUAUAAGGAAAAAAGCUGUGAAUAUAAAUAAAUAAAAAUAGAGUAGAAGGUAGAGAGUUUGGAUGAAAAUAUUUAUGGCAAAGUGUAUGGUGGCAGGUGCACAUUGAAGUAGUGUAAUAAAAAGGGGAUUGUUUUCAGUUGGGUAGGUUUGAGUUUUUAUAAUGCUUUCAUUAUGUUUCAACUUUGAUGCCAGCCAUGCCAACCGCAAACUUCUCUUUAAUUUCUUCCUAUCUCCUUAACGUUUGUGCAAUCUUUAACAGCUAGCAAUAAUCAAUAUGCAUGUUUAUAGUUCAUUCAUCAUCAUAUAUGGAGUACCAUUAUUAUUGUUAUUAUUACCAUCAUAUAUAUGAAUAAAAUGCAAUAUGCAAUCAUGAUAUGAUAGUCCAAAGAGGGUCUCUUUGAGCUAACAAUUUAAUUAACCUCACCAACCAUCCUUUCACCAUUAAUACUAUAUUUAAGAUAGGAUAAGAAAGAGAAAGAUAAAAGAGAGUUUUUUUUUUUUACUUUCCUACAUGUUCCUCUCAACUUAGGAGAAGUCGUUUUUCAAGUUCCUUUUUCAUUGUUUGGUGUUAAUAGUUUGUGUAUAUGGUAAAAUGGAAAUGUCCAUGAAAGUUAGGUUUAUUUUGUGCUGAUUGCAUUACUAGUAAUGGUUUUGUAGCUCCUUUUUUUAUCUAUUUUUUCUUUCUUGGUUUUGAAAGAGAAACAUUAUGGACACUAUUGAGAGGAAGAAAACAAUUUCCACUUCUACUCCUUCUUCAAAUCUUGUUCUUGCUUUAUUGUUCACCCUCCUUCUACAAACAAUUAUUAGAGUUGAAUGUAGCAACCUAAAUUACACAAAGUAUAGGAAAGUUAGUAGUUUGAGACUUGAAAGGAUUCAAAGGCACUUGGACAAGAUUAACAAGCCCCCUGUCCUAACCNNN